GGAAGUUAAAGAUUACAUGAAUUUGCAGGGCGAGCAGCCUAGUCUCAAGAGUUCCGUUAGAUGGCUCCAAAUAUAGAGCUCCUCUGAUCUUGACCUUCAUUCUCAGUUGAAGGAGUUGAUUCCUGAGCAACAGGAGCGCCUGAAGAAAUUUAAGGCAGAACAUGGAAAGGUUCAACUUGGAAAUAUCACCGUUGAUAUGGUGCUUGGUGGAAUGAGAGGAAUGGCAGGGUUACUGUGGGAAACUUCAUUACUUGACCCAGAUGAGGGAAUUCGCUUUAGAGAUUUGUCAAUCCCAGAAUGUCAGAAGUUAUUACCAGCUGCAAAGCCCGAAGGAGAACCCUUGCCUGAGGGUCUUCUCUUUUCAAAAUAGUAUUAGUUUUAUUAAAUGGUAUUCUUUUUUUUUUAGUAACUUUUCAAUAUCAUUCGGGGUUGUGUU